AUGCUUACUUUGGCAGCACACAUACUAAAAUCAGAACUACACAGAGAAGAUUAGCAUGGACCCUGUUCAAAAAUGACAUACAAAUUCAUGAAGCAGUCCAUUUUUUU